GACGAACGCUGGCGGCGUGCUUAACACAUGCAAGUCGAACAGAAAGGCCCUGCUUUUGUGGGGUGCUCGAGUGGCGAACGGGUGAGUAACACGUGAGUAACCUGCCCUUGACUUUGGGAUAACUUCAGGAAACUGGGGCUAAUACCGGAUAGGAGCUCCUGCUGCAUGGUGGGGGUUGGAAAGUUUCGGCGGUUGGGGAUGGACGCGCGGCUUAUCAGCUUGUUGGUGGGGUAGUGGCUUACAAAGGCUUUGGCGGGUAGCCGGCCUGAGAGGGUGACCGGCCACAUUGGGACUGCGAUACGGCCCAGACGCCUACGGGGGGCAGCAGUGGGGAAUAUUGCCCAAUGGGCGGAAGCCUGAUGCAGCAACGCCGCGUGCGGGAUGACGGCCUUCGGGUUGUAAACCGCUUUCGCCUGUGACGAAGCGUGAGUGACGGUAAUGGGUAAAGAAGCACCGGCUAACUACGUG
rnacentral:rRNA from 1 species